rnacentral:rRNA from 1 species
CCUACGGGAGGCAGCAGUGGGGAAUAUUGCACAAUGGGGGGAACCCUGAUGCAGCCAUGCCGCGUGAAUGAAGAAGGCCUUCGGGUUGUAAAGUUCUUUCGGUGACGAGGAAGGUUGGUAUGUUAAUAGCAUAUCAAAUUGACGUUAAUCACAGAAGAAGCACCGGCUAACUCCGUGCCAGCAGCCGCGGUAAUACGGGGGGUGCGAGCGUUAAUCGGAAUAACUGGGCGUAAAGGGCACGCAGGCGGUGACUUAAGUGAGAUGUGAAAGCCCCGGGCUUAACCUGGGAAUUGCAUUUCAUACUGGGUCGCUAGAGUACUUUAGGGAGGGGUAGAAUUCCACGUGUAGCGGUGAAAUGCGUAGAGAUGUGGAGGAAUACCGAAGGCGAAGGCAGCCCCUUGGGAAUGUACUGACGCUCAUGUGC